AUGGUGUCCAUUGUGCAGCUGCAGAGAAGGCGAACAGAAGCAUCAGCAGCAGCAGCGUCAGCGUCAGCGAGAGGCAUCCUUCCGGACAGGGAGGGGAGGAUGGAUCUUUCUGUGCCCCGAGGCGAGUUCCCGAUCCCAAUGCAUCAGCACGCCGCCGCCUCGCCCUACGGGGGCAUCGGCGGCGGGGGCGUCGCCGUCGCCGACCAUGCCAUGGAGCUGCACCACGACCACGCCAACCACAACGGACAGUCCCAGGCGCAGGACAUGCCGUCGCCGCCUGCUGCUGCGUCUGAGGACAGCUCCGGGAAGAAGCGCGCGGCGGCCAUUGCCGGCGGAGCGGGAGGGCCGCCGGUCAAGUACCGGGAGUGCCUCAAGAACCACGCGGCGGCCAUCGGCGGCAACGCCACCGACGGGUGCGGCGAGUUCAUGCCCAGCGGCGAGGAGGGCUCGCUGGAGGCGCUCAAGUGCUCCGCCUGCGGCUGCCACCGCAAUUUCCACCGCAAGGAGCUCGACGACUUCGACGGCGACAGCUGCGCCUCGCACGGCUACGGCUACGGCUACGGCCACCACGCCGUCCGCCGCCUGCUAGGCCCGGCCGUGCCGCACCACCACAAGAGCAGCGGGGGCCUCCUCGUCACCGCGGACCACUACGGCGCCUACGCUGCGGCACGCGCGCUCCCUCCGCCGCCGCCCCCGCCGCUGGGACACCACCACCAGAUCAUCAUGCCGCUCAACAUGAUCCAGACGUCCGAGUCGGACGAGAUGGACGGCAGCGGCGGCAUCAUGGGCGACGGCAGAGGCGGGCUAGCCUCGGGCGGCGGCGGCGGCGGCUCCUCCUCGUCCAAGAAGCGCUUCCGCACCAAGUUCACCGCCGAGCAGAAGGGGCGCAUGCUGGAGUUCGCGGAGAACGUGGGGUGGCGUCUCCAGAAGCUGGACGACGCCAUGGUGCAGCACUUCUGCCAGGAGAUCGGCGUCAAGCGCCGCGUCCUCAAGGUCUGGAUGCACAACAACAAGCACAACCUCGCCAGCAGGCCGCCCCCUACCUCGCCCACGCCGCCGCAGUCACAGUCAAUGCCGCUGGCGAUGUCAAUGCCGAUGCCGCUGGGCAUGUCAAUGCCGAUGCAAGUGCCGCCGUCGCAGCCCGGGCCUUCCGGCCACCGCGGCCCCAGCUCCCCGCGCGCGCAGGGGGAGCUCAAGCUCGACUGA
rnacentral:rRNA from 1 species